UUGUACCUCACACGUGAGGUACUCCAACUGUCAAAGUAGCUAUUGCACCUCACGCAGCGUUGCCAGAUUGUACAAAUUUCUCAAAAAUGUUUUGUUGUCUGGUGGACGAUAGAUACGAUAGAUAUAGUGUGUAGAUAGAUAGAUCUAGUGUAUAUAGAUAUAGUAGCCUACGAAUAACGAAGUAAUGAAGAACUAGGAGUGCAAGUAGCGUUAUAAGUGAAACUCAACAGCGUGAUUUAUUUUGAUUUUAAAAAGCAUGUAUUAGCUUCAGUGUUCAGUCUUAAUGUAAUGGUAGCAAAGCUACUAAUAAAUAACGCAAAGCAUAGUGAACACUUGACCUUGUCGUUGUCGAGCGUUGCAUAAAACACUGGAUCGAAUCGUUCUUCGAAAAGGUGAUAUGGGUCAAUUACCUGGAAUGUAACCUUCGACUUGUUCAUGUUCCAUGAUUCAUUUUCGCGUUUACUUAUGCAAACCUCCCGUUGUCGCGCCUAUUGCCGUUAUCACUCAAUGCGUGAAAUCAAAAGAAUCAAGACUGUUUAAGCCAUAAUAACAUCUUUUUCAACGAAGAACCUAAUAUGAAUCUCCAAGAGAAAAUCUAACUGUUCCCAAGGUCUUAAGGUUGUCAUGUCAAUAUUGUAUAGGGAAAUAAAAUAGGAAAUUUUUCGUAUA